rnacentral:misc_RNA from 1 species
CGAAAGCGUUUUUAACAGCGCAAAACCCACUGUGAACAUACCUGUUUGUUGCUUCGGCAGGCGGCCCCAGGGCGGGGCCAGCAGCCUGUAUUUUUUUCAGGCGCCUGCCGGAGGCCACUUCAAACUCUUUUGUAUACGUACUGUCUGAGCCUAAAACAAAAUACGUUA